rnacentral:rRNA from 1 species
AUGAACGCUGGCGGCGUGCUUAACACAUGCAAGUCGAACGGUGAAGCAGAGCUUGCUCUGUGGAUCAGUGGCGAACGGGUGAGUAACACGUGAGCAACCUGCCCCUGACUCUGGGAUAAGCGCUGGAAACGGCGUCUAAUACUGGAUAUGUGACGUGGCCGCAUGGUCUGCGUCUGGAAAGAAUUUCGGUUGGGGAUGGGCUCGCGGCCUAUCAGCUUGUUGGUGAGGUAAUGGCUCACCAAGGCGUCGACGGGUAGCCGGCCUGAGAGGGUGACCGGCCACACUGGGACUGAGACACGGCCCAGACUCCUACGGGAGGCAGCAGUGGGGAAUAUUGCACAAUGGGCGAAAGCCUGAUGCAGCAACGCCGCGUGAGGGAUGACGGCCUUCGGGUUGUAAACCUCUUUUAGCAGGGAAGAAGCGAAAGUGACGGUACCUGCAGAAAAAGCGCCGGCUAACUACGUGCCAGCAGCCGCGGUAAUACGUAGGGCGCAAGCGUUAUCCGGAAUUAUUGGGCGUAAAGAGCUCGUAGGCGGUUUGUCGCGUCUGCUGUGAAAUCCGGAGGCUCAACCUCCGGCCUGCAGUGGGUACGGGCAGACUAGAGUGCGGUAGGGGAGAUUGGAAUUCCUGGUGUAGCGGUGGAAUGCGCAGAUAUCAGGAGGAACACCGAUGGCGAAGGCAGAUCUCUGGGCCGUAACUGACGCUGAGGAGCGAAAGGGUGGGGAGCAAACAGGCUUAGAUACCCUGGUAGUCCACCCCGUAAACGUUGGGAACUAGUUGUGGGGUCCAUUCCACGGAUUCCGUGACGCAGCUAACGC